rnacentral:rRNA from 1 species
GGGGCUAAACCAUGCACCGAAGCUGCGGCAGCGACGCUUAUGCGUUGUUGGGUAGGGGAGCGUUCUGUAAGCCUGCGAAGGUGUGCUGUGAGGCAUGCUGGAGGUAUCAGAAGUGCGAAUGCUGACAUAAGUAACGAUAAAGCGGGUGAAAAGCCCGCUCGCCGGAAGACCAAGGGUUCCUGUCCAACGUUAAUCGGGGCAGGGUGAGUCGACCCCUAAGGCGAGGCCGAAAGGCGUAGUCGAUGGGAAACAGGUUAAUAUUCCUGUACUUGGUGUUACUGCGAAGGGGGGACGGAGAAGGCUAUGUUGGCCGGGCGACGGUUGUCCCGGUUUAAGCGUGUAGGCUGGUUUUCCAGGCAAAUCCGGAAAAUCAAGGCUGAGGCGUGAUGACGAGGCACUACGGUGCUGAAGCAACAAAUGCCCUGCUUCCAGGAAAAGCCUCUAAGCAUCAGGUAACAUCAAAUCGUACCCCAAACCGACACAGGUGGUCAGGUAGAGAAUACCAAGGCGCUUGAGAGAACUCGGGUGAAGGAACUAGGCAAAAUGGUGCCGUAACUUCGGGAGAAGGCACGCUGAUAUGUAGGUGAAGUCCCUCGCGGAUGGAGCUGAAAUCAGUCGAAGAUACCAGCUGGCUGCAACUGUUUAUUAAAAACACAGCACUGUGCAAACACGAAAGUGGACGUAUACGGUGUGACGCCUGCCCGGUGC